rnacentral:lncRNA from 1 species
AGAUAUAUUACAUUUGCCAUGUCUAAUAUAUGGAGUAUGAUUCCAAGUCCCAAUUAGAAUGCUAAACCCAUGCGUAGAUCUCACUUGCAAGCUCUCUACCACAUAGAGAUCCGAAAAUGCAUUAUAUAUAACAUGUGCAUUUCAAGCAUUCUAAAAUUCACCAAUAAUGCAUCUAUCAUGAAAAUGCGUGAUUUUCUAUUUUACGAUAAUUAAAUCCACAUAAAUGAGAUUUUCUCAUUUGUAGCGAGGUCAAACCCACCGAGAACUCCACGCGACCCUUCGUGCCCCCGACUCUCUUAGCUCCAAGACUUUAGGUGAUGUCACGAUGCUACGAUUCCGGUUUCGUGAUUUUUGGAAGCUCACGCCGCAAGCUGCGGCAAUCUGUACCGAAAUCGGCCUUUCUUCAAUAUCUUCGCGUAGCCUCGUCGUAUCGCCGAACCGACUUCGCCAGCGUGUCAGAAAACCUAGCAAUUAGGUUUAUACAGGCUCAAUUUAGAUCGAACCCUCACAUAUUGCAAAAUCCCAUUUUUGAGCCCUAACAUGCAAUUACCUCCAAAUAAUCCAAAUUAAAUGGAGCAACAUGCUAAGAAUGCUUAUUAGAGGCUACUACAACACUUAAGGUUAAGGAUUAAGCCAAAUCCCAAAAGUUUACCAAAAAGUGAACACCGAGACGGAAGAACGCCACUCCAACGAGCGCACGAAAGCUCGAUCCGUCGCUCCAAACGUGUUCGCAAGCUCGUUCUCCACCAACGCCGUGAAUUUGGGCGAAAGAUAUAGAGAGAUGAGAGAGAUAUUUAGAGAGAGAAAAGGGAGGGUUUCUCUCACUACACCAUGAACGUGUGGUGUGGGGGUGGUGGUGGUGGCUGUGAAGAAGAAGAAGAAGCCUAGAAGCUUCUACUUAUAGUCAACACUCCAAUAGUAGCAUACACUAUUCACUUCAGGCAGUUCGAAAUCUGAUAUCUUUCGCCGGAGCCCUCUGAAAAUCCGUUUCAGUUCAAAUUUGACAGUUAUGUUCGGUUUUGCUUUACUUGACGAGAAAAAUUUUAAUCUAUCAGUUUCGACCCCGUUUGGUCACCGAAAGCUGUACCGAACUGUAAUCUUUAUCAGAUAACUGUCGGAUUUUAUUUUCCACCUUCUGGGUGUCAGAAUGAUAUGAAACUUUAAAUCUAGCCUCAUAAAAAUAAUUCUGACUUAUCCUCCAGUUUUCAGAAUUUUCUGACACUGUGCAUUUUCUGUUAAAAUAACAGCCUCGAUUCACACAGAAAAUUCAAAAUCUUCUGUUCUCGCUCCGAUUUCCGCACGAGCCGUUCCCGACUUAUAUUUUACUUCUAUAAGUCCAAUAAAAAUAGUAUCUCACACCAUUUUUAUUUAUACCCUUAUUUUAAAAUCCGGUAUGCUACAUCAAUCCCAUGGCUCACCUACAGGUGCCACAAC